AGCACCAUUUCAUGGGAGAUGUAACAAACCCCAGGUAAAUACUGGAGAUGUAUUUGAAAGAUGGAGACAGCUUAGAGCCCAAAAGGACACCAAAUUGGCUAAUUUCCUCCUGAACAGGUAAGCAUUA